rnacentral:lncRNA from 1 species
CGUUGAAUAGGAAUGAAUCGCGUCUGCUUCGCGCCUCCGUCCAUUGCGCCAAUCGUUCGACGUUUGUGACAAAUUUAUUAAAGUGCCAACAAGCGAUUUUAUUGGCAUAUUUGAUGAGAAACCGAUCAAUAGAGUUCACAGAAAUUAUCACAGAAAUCUACCUUAACAAAUCAAGUAAAUAGAUGUCCUUGAGUUGGCAGCCUGGUAAUGUGUAAAGGGGUUAUCCUAGUACCGAUACCAGUCUCUCACAAAGAUUGUUUUGAAUGUAGCUCAAUUACAACAUCUUCAAAGUACAGCAAAACAAAACAUUAAAGUGCCUAUUUCUACUAAUUUUUUUUCACACAACAUGGCCAUAUUCUUUUGGCGGGAAGGCAAAAGACAC